rnacentral:lncRNA from 1 species
GUUGACUUUAUUAUACACAAUCAAAGGUCUUCAUACAAGAUCAAAUAAAUCAUGCAAUGACAUACAAUCAAAUAUGGCCUACAAUCAUACAAUUAUCACACAAGGCAUGCAAGCAUUCAUAAUUCAAUCAAAAGUCAAACAAUUUAAUCCCCGAGUCAAGGUUAAUUCUAAAACCCUAAAAAAAAAAUACCAAUUUACUUCAUUUGGUUUUGAUAAAAUAAAAUAUAAUAACUUAGAAAGUCAAUAAAAGAAAAUUCAAAUACUCUUUUAUAAUUUUAUUAAAUAAACAAACAAAAGGAUAAUAUUCUUUUAAGUUUGUAGUGAAAAAUAAAUAAGAAAAACUUGAAGCCAAAUAAGAAAGUUGGGCCAUAGGGUGCAGGCCUGUUAUGAGGGAUAUCACUAAGUAACAAGGAUGGGCCUAAGGCCCAUCACUAACCCUAAUCACUAAUAUUAUUAUAAAAAAAGAAAAAGGAAAACAAAAAUGUUGUUGCUACCAACAUCAAGGAAAUGGCGCCUUGCUUGGUCAAAGGGAGUUUCAAUAUUUAAACCAAUCAAAUUGAAAACUGACACGUGUCAUGGAUAUAAUAAAACAAAACAAACCUAUGGGGAUGUUGAUGCAGUCGGAAUCAAUGGGGAUGUUGAUGCAGUCGGAAUCAAUGCGGGAACAGCGGUGCUCCUGGCAGUUGGGUUGUUGUUGUUGGUGAUAAGUAUUGUCAAAAGAUCCCAAGUUCAAAGAAGGAGAUAAUCAAUCAGCAAUAACACCAGUAGACACUGGGGAUACUUAGUUGAACCCACUUGGAGAAAUAGAUACCGAAUCCACAUCAAACCCACCACUGAACCUCAAAAACUCCUGCUGCUGUUGUUGUUGAUUUCCAAAAGUCCUAAAAAUCUCUUGUUGCCUUCUAACAACAACGACAAUAGCCAAUUGUUGAGCUUUACGAUGGUUUUGUUUGGUGGUGCGCGUGUUGUUUGGAUUGUGGAUUGAAAAUGGUGGUGAAGGUGCAUCGAUUUGUUGGGAGAGAAAGUGUUGUUCGCUAGAUUUUAUGGUGUUUUCGUGGUUGUUGUGUUUAAAGUGAUGAUAAGACGAGUUUCAUGGUGUUCAUUAGGAGGAGUUCGUGUGGUUAUGAGUGGCUUUGAGUUGGUGUGUAUGUAGUUUAGUUUGAAACAUGAUGAAGGUUGUGUUGAUGGUUGUUGUAAGGUUUACAUUGCGUUUUCAUGGUGUUGUUAGUGGAUGAUGAUUGUGUGUUGUUGGUUGUUAUAGCAUGGCUUAUAUUUUUUUCUCACUGUAGCGUUA